AGCAGUCGCCGCGGUAAAACGUAGGUGGCAAGCGUUGUCCGGAAUUAUUGGGCGUAAAGGGCUCGCAGGCGGUUUCUUAAGUCUGAUGUGGAAGCCCCCGGCUCAACCGGGGAGGGUCAUUGGAAACUGGGAAACUUGAGUGCAGAAGAGGAGAGUGGAAUUCCACGUGUAGCGGUGAAAUGCGUAGAGAUGUGGAGGAACACCAGUGGCGAAGGCGACUCUCUGGUCUGUAACUGACGCUGAGGAGCGAAAGCGUGGGGAGCGAACAGGAUUAGAGACCCCAGUAGUCCCUGUCUCUUAUAC
rnacentral:rRNA from 1 species